rnacentral:rRNA from 1 species
GCAGCAGUAAGGAAUAUUGGACAAUGGAGGGAACUCUGAUCCAGCCAUUCCGCGUGGAGGAAGAAGGCCCUAUGGGUUGUAAACUUCUUUUAGAUGGGAAUAAAAUGACUCUUGCGAGAGUUACUGAAGGUACCAUCAGAAUAAGCACCGGCUAACUCCGUG